UGUGUGUGUAUGUUGGGGGAGCCUCUCCCGCCCCCUCACGGCGGUGCGCCGCGCAUGCGCCGGCCCAGCCGGCGGGCUCCUGGUGGUCGCGUUGCCUGUUGGAGUCAGUCUGUGAUCCAGGACCCCCUCCCUGGGCAGUGUGAGAACGGGCAGGGACACAGCCCCUGAUGGGACCGCAGAGCCUGGAGCCUUCCCUUCCUUCUGCUGCUCCUGUCCUCGCCCCGUCUCCCAUCACCAACGCUCCAUCUGCGUCCCCCAAAGCAACCAGGCUCCGGCAGCAGCCCUCCUGCAAGCCCGGGUAAGCAGGCUCCGGCAUUCACCACUGCCACACUAGGGGCUGAUUCACCGGCAUCGGUUACUUUCUGAGACAAUUCAUUUAAUCAGGAAACCGUAA
rnacentral:lncRNA from 1 species